rnacentral:rRNA from 1 species
CCCUUAGAUGUUCUGGGCUGCACGCGCGCUACACUGAAACGUUCAACGAGUAUUCACCUUGCCCGGGAGGGUUGGGUAAUCUUUUGAAAACGCUUCGUGAUGGGGAUAGAUUAUUGCAAUUAUUAAUCUCCAACGAGGAAUUCCUAGUAAGCGCGAGUCAUCAGCUCGUGCUGAUUACGUCCCUGCCCUUUGUACACACCGCCCGUCGCUCCUACCGAUUGGGUGAUCCGGUGAAUAAUUCGGACUGCAGCACUGCUUGGUCUCCAGGCUUUGCAGCGGAAAGUUUAGUGAACCUUAUCACUUAGAGGAAGGAGAAGUCGUAACA